AUCUACAGAUUGCGGUUUUCUCAUCUGUAACAUAACAUGGUUGGAUGAGCUUAUAAAAGUUUUCUUCAUGACCUAAAACCUUUUUCUCUAUGUUUCCACGGAUCCAAGUGUCCAUUCAUGUCCGUGAUACCUUUCAACUCAAAAUGAACAACUAGAUGUCCCCACUGCUCUGGAUAGAGCAAAAGGGCAAAGAGAGGAAGAGGCCAAAGGAACAGCAGAGGGAUGAGAACUGAGGAGGGGAAGCUAUGGAAAAGAAGAGAAACACUGCAGAGCUGGUAAUGAGCAGCAGGGGCAAAAAUGGAAAGAAGUCCAUCAGAAAUAGCUUUUGAAAAUGGAAGCUGGGUGGAUUGGUCACCCUGAACACAUUUGCCUUGGGUAUCCAGUGAGUCAACUUCUGGAAGUUAGCUUGCCUAUGGAUGGACAGGAAGUUGACAAUGGGUGAGUUAAGGGGGAAAAGGGAAGCCCAAAAAACUAAAGAUGU